AGUGAACGCUGGCGGCAGGCCUAACACAUGCAAGUCGAACGGCAGCACAGGGGAGCUUGCUCCCUGGGUGGCGAGUGGCGGACGGGUGAGGAAUACAUCGGAAUCUACCUUGUCGUGGGGGAUAACGUAGGGAAACUUACGCUAAUACCGCAUACGAACUAUGGUUGAAAGCGGCGGACCGCAAGGCGUCGCGCGAUUGG
rnacentral:rRNA from 1 species